ensembl:antisense 1700071M16Rik RIKEN cDNA 1700071M16 gene
AGAAACCAAGGGAACCUCUUCUAACAACCUGUGGCUCUCCAACUUCUCUACUUUAGGAACCUGUUCACCUGGAGUUUAGGAGUCACAGAUCUGUGGGUAUAGACAGUGUGAGAUCAUUCUCAAGUUACCUGCUGUGCUCUCCAAAGGACACAGACUGAGACCCAUGUGCGUCACCGCUCUUUAAGAUGAACAGGCAGAAAGGGCCAUGUCCCUUUGGACCUCUAGAGUCCAGACUGUCAUCGUCUUGCAAGCCUCUUCACCUCCGCAGGACCAGGUUUGCUUGUCAAGACACAAGACCAAUCCUACCUUCAUGGAACAGUGAUGAAGCUGCCUUGUAAACUCCAAGGAUCUCUCUCCAAAGCUGAAGCACAUUAUGUCAUCUAUAAUGGUUUUCCAAUAAGCUUCAGGGAUCCUCCCGUUUCUACACCCCUCCCCCCAUAACAAAGAAAUCUCACAUCAGUGGUGGCACUCCAAACUCAUGACCUCAUGCUUGCACAGUGGAUACUUCAUCACCUGGGCCAUCCCCCCAGUCCUUGCAUUCUCACAUAUCAAAACAUGCAACAUCUUAAAGUUGCUCAGAGAGUAAUGCCUCUUACCUGACGGCCUGAAGUCAAAAGAAGAUGUGUCUUGCCAGUGAAAAGGAUGGACCCAUGGGAGGCAGCAGAGGAGGCAGAAAAGCGCCUGCAGUUUGAGUGGUACCAUCUUAGGAGCUGAGCAGUGGCUUCAGUUUGAUGUUCUUCAGAGCAGAUAAUUAAAAGAAAAGAAAU